rnacentral:rRNA from 1 species
AUUGAACGCUGGCGGCAGGCCUAACACAUGCAAGUCGAACGAGGGGCGGACGGGUGAGUAAUGUCUGGGAAACUGCCCGAUGGAGGGGGAUAACUACUGGAAACGGUAGCUAAUACCGCAUACAAUCGGAUGUGCCCCGAGGGGAUUAGAGAGUAGUUGUGGUAAAGGCGCACCUAGGCGACGAUCCCUAGCUGGGCUGAGAGGAUGACCGGCCACACUGGAACUGAGCCAGGUUCCAGACUCCUACGGGAGUCAGCAGUGGGGAAUAUUGCACAAUGGGCGCAAGCCUGAUGCAGCCAUGCCGCGUGUAUGAAGAAGGCCUUCGGGUUGUAAAGUACUUUCAGCGAGGAGGCGUUACUCGCAGAAGAAGCACCGGCUAACUCCGUGCCAGCAGCCGCGGUAAUUC